rnacentral:hammerhead_ribozyme from 1 species
AUCUAGCUGAAGAGUCCUAAAUAGGACGAAACGCGCGUCCUGGAU